ACUGAUUACCCUGAAUCGGUGGAUCACUUGGCAUCCGUGGGCUCGAUGAAGAACGCACGUUAAUUGC
rnacentral:rRNA from 1 species